CCUACGGGAGGCAGCAGUGAGGAAUAUUGGUCAAUGGACGAGAGUCUGAACCAGCCAAGUAGCGUGAAGGAUGACUGCCCUAUGGGUUGUAAACUUCUUUUAUAGAGGAAUAAAGCUAGCCACGUGUGCCUUUUUGCAUGUACUCUAUGAAUAAGCAUCGGCUAACUCCGUGCCAGCAGCCGCGGUAAUACGGAGGAUCCGAGCGUUAUCCGGAUUUAUUGGGUUUAAAGGGUGCGUAGGUUGGUUGUUAAGUCAGCUGUGAAAGUUUGUGGCUCAACCAUAAAAUUGCAGUUGAAACUGGAAGACUUGAGUGUAGUUGAGGUAGGCGGAAUGCGUGGUGUAGCGGUGAAAUGCAUAGAUAUCACGAAGAACCCCGAUUGCGAAGGCAGCUUACUAAGCUGUAACUGACAUUGAUGCACGAAAGUGUGGGUAUCAAACAGGAUUAGAUACCCGUGUAGUC
rnacentral:rRNA from 1 species